CCUACGGGAGGCAGCAGUGGGGAAUAUUGGGCAAUGGACGCAAGUCUGACCCAGCAACGCCGCGUGAAGGAAGAAGGCUUUCGGGUUGUAAACUUCUUUUAAGGGGGAAGAGCAGAAGACGGUACCCCUUGAAUAAGCCACGGCUAACGACGUGCCAGCAGCCGCGGUAAUACGGAGGUGGCAAGCGUUGUCCGGAUUUACUGGGGGUAAAGGGCGUGCAGCCGGAGGGAUAAGUCAGAUGUGAAAUCCACGGGCUCAACCCGGGAACUGCAUUUGAAACUGUUUCCCUUGAGUGUAGGUGAGGUAAUCGGAAUUCCUUGUGUAGCGGUGAAAUGCGUAGAUAUAAGGAAGAACACCAGUGGCGAAGGCGGAUUGCUGGACAGUAACUGACGCUGAGGCGCGAAAGCGUGGGGAGCAAACAGGAUUAGAUACCCCUGUAGUC
rnacentral:rRNA from 1 species